UGACGAAGAUUUCCGGCACUCGUGUGCCGUCUCACGAUUUCGAAUCCCGCCUUCCGCCUUUCGGCUGCUGCGGUCGAGCGUGCCGCCCCCUCCGCCCUGCCGUAUUCGCUUACCUCACACCCGUUCUUUUACUCGUACGUCGCACCUUGGCCAAUGUCUGCUCAGUCCGCGGCCAGUCGGUGGACUAACCUCGCUGGCAUCGGCUCCUGCCACCCGACGCACCAUCAUUACCCCACGAGUACCGAAGAAGUGCAGGACGCUGUCGAGCUGGUGCGUUCGCAGAACGGCAAGUGCCGCGUCGCGGGAGCCGGCAAGAGCCCGAACACAGCCACCUUCACGAAUGAGCACCUGAUCCACAUGGAGCGCAUGAACCGCAUCUUGUCCAUUGACACCGUCGCGCACACCAUCACGUGUGAGGCGGGGGCGGUUAUGGAGGAGGUGAUGAGGUCGGUCGACAAGGUGGGUCUCAUGGUGCGCUGCGUGCCAUCCUACGUCCGGACUACUGUCGGCGGCUGCAUCGCCACGGCUACGCACAGCAGCGGCAGCCAAUGCCAUUGUCUCUCGGACUAUGUGCGAGGGUUGAAGAUCGUGGACGGCUGCGCCCAGAUUCGCACGCUGGUCGCAGGCAAGGACGAUGCGGAGCUGCGGCUGGCCGCCUGCCACCUCGGCGUGAUUGGCAUUGUCACGGAGGUCACGCUGGAGGUGCAGCCGCGGGUUCAGUGGAAGUUGGUAAGUCAGCCGUUGCCCAUGAAGGAUGCGACGAACGCUGCGCUGGUUGCGGAGAAGGUGAGGUCGACCGAGUACUACCGGUGGUGGUGGGUGCCACACACGGACGGCUGCUACGAGUCCUACGGCAGAGUCGAGAGCACGACGGACAUAUCCGCGCUGCCCCCGCUUCCCGACGCGCUCACUGCGCGGGAUGACGCGCCUGUGCAGCCGUCGCCUGCUGCUUUGCAGGAAGCAAGCAGCGCCAGCGACAGCAGCGCCUCUCUAAUCGUGAAGAGUGCCCUCAAGAGUAUUGCGACGGACUUUGUGCGGCAUCAGGUGGUUGAGUGGAGCCUGUGGGCGGCGUGCCUGUACCCGGCUAUUCAGCCGUACGUGAACAAGGCGUAUCAGCGGGUCUUCUUCUCGGCUCCCCAGGUGCAGCGCGGGUCGGCGCUCGAGUGCUUCACCUUCGACUGCCUCUUCAAGCAGUGGGCCAACGAGUGGGCUAUCGAUGCCUCGCGGGCCGUUGAGGCGUUUAACCGACUGCGGGACAUGAUCGACCGUGAGGGCAUGCUCCUGCACUUCCCCGUCGAGUUCCGCUUCACGGCGCCAGAUGUGUCGGACAUGUCCCCCGCCGUGGGGCGGCCAACAUGCUGGAUUGGUGUGGUCAUGUACCGUCCCUACGGGCAGGAAGCGCGCGACACGCGCCGUUGCUACGACGGCUUCUGCCACGUGAUGGAGGAGAUGGGUGGCCGUCCACACUGGGCCAAGUACUACGACUGGGGACAUCGCGAGAUAACGGCGGCCUACGGCGACCACUGGGAGCGCUUCCUGGCGCUGCGUCGCAGGAUGGACCCCGACGACAUCUUUGUAAACCGUUGGUUCCGCAACCUUAUGUCGUCCGACCGCGUGAACAGCACCGCGUGCACGCCGUAGACAGUCCUGGUACCUAAUAUCUUGUGCGUGCGAGCGUCUGUGUGUAGCAAAGGCUGCCUGCGGGCUCGCGUCAACCACCAUCGCUUCUC
rnacentral:misc_RNA from 1 species